UCUUCUGGAUUUGCCCUUUUCUCCAUGCCCCUCCCUUAUGGUGAUGGAAUUAGAAGGUGGAGAUUUGGGGAAGCGGUUAAAUCCUGAGGGCUCGGCCUUCGUGAAUGGGAUCAGUAGCGUUAUACAAGAAGCAACCUACAGGGAACCGCUGACCUCUGGACACAACAGGAUAGCCGUACUUAGGGAUUCAUAGCAGUUGUGACAUCAUGAACCACACAGACCCAUGCAAGCUCAAUCCAGACAAAAUCUCAGCAUGGAAGGGCAGAGCUAGAUAGACGUCCCACCCCCCCAGCUAAGGCGCUAUUGGCAACUGGUAGCUGUUCAUGGACAGAAGAGCCUGUUUUCUUUAAGAGUGUAGCACCUGCCAUCCACAGGUCCUGGAGGGAAAGGAAGGGAUGCAGGUGUCCACAGUUCUGUAUCACUGCAGAGGAAGAAAUGACAGAGCUGAGCCAAGACAUUCUUUCCCAGAGUGAGCAUGAGUUCAAGCGCAGGGUGAGAGUGGGCCUCUCUCGGUGCCAUAUCAUGUAUUCCUUUUGAUGAUCCUAGAAGUUGGUUCUGAGACAGGACCUUUUUUGCAAAAGAGAAAGUUGAAUCAUCCAGACGUGGUGGCCCUGGUGUACUGGCUUUUUUUUUUUUUUCCCAAGACAAGGACUCAAACUUUGCUACAUCCACUCCAGUAGUGACUCCCAUGACAGGCCUAGAAACCUGGACACAGUCCUGAGGCAAAAAGUUCACGGAAACUUAGUGAUAUACGAUGCAAUGAAAGAAAUUAAGCAUCGCAGAGCACACCCUGCAUGAUUUCAUUUACAUGGAGACUGGAAAGAAAGCAAUUGUGAAGGAGGUCAGAAGGAAAGGAUUUCCUGAAGGAUCUCGGCCCAGAGGGUCAUGCUGGGAGUCUUCGGUGAAACUGGAUCCUGUUGAUCUGACAACACUCCCUAUGAGAGUAAACGCCUACAGCAACUUCACACACUUGAUGCUCUUGAAGGACAGAAUACAGCACGUGUGUCCUGGGGUUCACAUUGAGAUCAGCUCCCUCUGUGAGGAAGGACUUUGAUACCAGUCCACUUGUCCCAAAAUGCAUCGUCUGGAGUCUCAGGCGCUCUGUCUGUGAGUGAGCACUUACCAGGAAGCUGAUGUAGCACAGAGCCAAGCAGAGAAAGAAAGAUGAAUACAUUAGAUCCCUUCCAGCCAUGGAGUUGGUUGUUGUUGUCGAGAUCCUUAUACACACAGCGUGAGUUUGUCCUCUGGAAAUAACUGGGAAGUAUCCAGGAAAAGAAUUACUGCAAAUAAACACUACAGUGAAUGGGAAGCGCCGCAAGAUCCACAUGUCAUAAAAACAGGGCCCCAGUAGAUUCUGUGAGUCCAUACCCCUGACCAAC
rnacentral:lncRNA from 1 species